UACUUACGGGUACCCUGUUCCCCAGC
rnacentral:piRNA from 1 species